rnacentral:rRNA from 1 species
UACAGAGGUGGCUAGCGUUGUUCGGAAUUACUGGGCGUAAAGGGCGCGUAGGCGGCUUGGUCAGUCCCGUGUGAAAUCCCUCGGCUCAACUGAGGAACUGCACGGGAAACUGCCUGGCUUGAGUUCGGGAGAGGGAAGCGGAAUUCCGGGUGUAGCGGUGAAAUGCGUAGAUAUCCGGAGGAACACCGGUGGCGAAGGCGGCUUCCUGGACCGACACUGACGCUGAGGAG